rfam:Micromonas pusilla CCMP1545 chloroplast, partial genome.
GUCUUAGUGGUGGAAUGGUAGACACGCAAGCUUGAGGGGUUUGUGCUUAUCGGCGUGGAGGUUCGAGUCCUCUCUAAGACA